rnacentral:rRNA from 1 species
AUUGAACGCUGGCGGCAGGCCUAACACAUGCGAGUCGAGCGGAUGAAGGGAGCUUGCUCCUGGAUUCAGCGGCGGACGGGUGAGUAAUGCCUAGGAAUCUGCCUGGUAGUGGGGGAUAACGUCCGGAAACGGGCGCUAAUACCGCAUACGUCCUGAGGGAGAAAGUGGGGGAUCUUCGGACCUCACGCUAUCAGAUGAGCCUAGGUCAGAUUAGCUAGUUGGUGGGGUAAAGGCCUACCAAGGCGACGAUCCGUAACUGGUCUGAGAGGAUGAUCAGUCACACUGGAACUGAGACACGGUCCAGACUCCUACGGGAGGCAGCAGUGGGGAAUAUUGGACAAUGGGCGAAAGCCUGAUCCAGCCAUGCCGCGUGUGUGAAGAAGGUCUUCGGAUUGUAAAGCACUUUAAGUUGGGAGGAAGGGCAGUAAGUUAAUACCUUGCUGUUUUGACGUUACCAACAGAAUAAGCACCGGCUAACUUCGUG